CUGCUGCCUUCCGUAGGAGUUUGGUCCGUGUCUCAGUACCAAUGUGGGGGGUUGACCUCUCAGUCCCCCUAUGUAUCGUCGCCUUGGUGAGCCGUUACCUCACCAACUAGCUAAUACAACGCAUGUCCAUCUCUGACCACCUGAGUUUUCAACCACCGAAGAUGCCUCCGGUGAUGUUAUGGGGUAUUAGUACCAAUUUCUCGAUGUUAUCCCCCUGUCAAAGGUAGGUUACAUACGCGCUACGCACCCGUCCGCCGGUCGCCGG
rnacentral:rRNA from 1 species